GGCAUCUGUUGUGGAACACAAGCUCCAGUGAGUUGGAGAGAACGUCAUCCCAGAGAGAUGUCUAACAGGUAGAGUUACAAGAUGAUCUGUAGUUUCAGUCCCCUGGGUUGCUCUCCAGCCUUCAUCCUGUGCAGACCACCAUGCCUGGACCAGAUGAACAUCAGCCUCUCUACAGGCCACUGUGAAGAAAUCGGAGCAGUGUGGGGUGAAUGCCACACCGAAGAAAACAACUGCCAUGUCAUGAGCAGCCCCCAUGGUGAGGAACCAAAGCCUUCUGUCAAUCGGCACAUGAUCCUACAGCCCCACUCAAGCAUUCAGAUGACUGCAGCCCCAGCUGAUGACUUGCCUGCAACCUGAUGAGAAAUCCUCAGCCAGAAUCACCCAGCCACUUCCAGAUUCCUAACCCCCAGAA